AGACCUCUUGCUGGCUGCCACAUCGGCACUGCCAACCGGUGGGGUGCAGCCCUGCUGAAGCCCCAGAGCUCAGCCCAGUGCUGGGCACAUAGUAGGCGCUCAGGAAAUGAUUGCUGAAUGUGGAAUGAAAGUCCCCAGCAGGCAAAAGGCUGUGACUUCUGUUAGUGGGGUGGUGGUCCUCUGGGGCGAGUGUAUGGAGAACUUCAAGGCCUCCUCCUGGCUGCCCAGGAAGUAGCCGGCUGCUGGGGACAUCAAAGGAGAUUCGGGCUGUGGAAGGCUCCCUAGCGUCGGAGAUGGAGUUAGGAGAGGGCGCCAAAGGCGACGUGCCGGCCGCCAGCUCCAGGCCGAGCCCCGAGCGCCUGCAGGAACACGCCCCUUCACCCGGCGCGGGACGCAGAGCUGCGAGAGAAUCUUGUUCAGCGCGGACUCAACGCCAGGGCGCCGCCUAGAGGUUGGUCUCUGUCUCGGCCUCACCCGCCGGGAGACCACAGAGCUGCUUCCCCAGCCGCCCGCCGCCAGAAAUUGG
rnacentral:lncRNA from 10 species